rnacentral:RNase_P_RNA from 1 species
GAAGCUGGCUAGACAGUCGCUGCGCGCCUCGUGCGCGGAGAGGAAAGUCCGGGCUCCGCAGAGCAGGAUGCCGGUUAACGACCGGACGCCGUGAGGCGAUGGAAAGUGCCACAGAAAAUACACCGCCGAUGGCCGCGCAAGCGGAUCAGGCAAGGUUGAAAUGGCGAGGUAAGAGCUCACCGCGCUGGUGGCAACAUCAGCGGCAGGGUAAACCCCAUCCGGAGCAAGAUCAAAUAGGCUGACCAUGACGUUGCUCGCGUCGUCAGCGGGUAGAUUGCUUGAGCGUAAGGUAACGAAACGCCUAGAGGAAUGACUGUCCACGACAGAACCCGGCUUAUCGGCCAGCUUCACUU